rnacentral:rRNA from 1 species
UACGUAGGGGGCAAGCGUUGUCCGGAAUCAUUGGGCGUAAAGAGCGUGUAGGCGGCCAGAUAAGUCCGCUGUGAAAUCUCGAGGCUCAACUUCGAGCUGUCGGUGGAAACUGUCUGGCUAGAGUCCGGAAGAGGAGAAUGGAAUUCCCAGUGUAGAGGUGAAAUUCGUAGAUAUUGGGAAGAACACCGGUGGCGAAGGCGGCGACCUGGUCCGAUACUGACGCUGAGGCGCGAAAGCGUGGGGAGCAAACAGG